GUUUGAUCCUGGCUCAGAACGAACGCUGGCAGCGUGCCUAACACAUGCAAGUCGAGCGCGAAUAGGGGCAACCCUUAGUAGAGCGGCGCACGGGUGCGUAACACGUGGGUAAUCUGCCCUGAAGCCUGGGAUAACCAGCCGAAAGGUUGGCUAAUACCGGAUAAGACCUCGGACUCCUCGGAGUCUGCGGGAAAAGGUGGCCUCUGUAUACAAGCUAUCGCUUCUGGAUGAGCCCGCGGCCCAUCAGCUAGUUGGCGGGGUAAUGGCCCACCAAGGCAACGACGGGUAGCUGGUCUGAGAGGACGAUCAGCCACACUGGAACUGAGACACGGUCCAGACUCCUACGGGAGGCAGCAGUGGGGAAUUUUGCGCAAUGGGCGAAAGCCUGACGCAGCAACGCCGCGUGUGUGAUGAAGGUCUUCGGAUUGUAAAGCACUUUCGGCCGGGACGAAAACCCUGAGGCUAACAUCCUCAGGCUUGACGGUACCGGAAGAAGAAGCACCGGCUAACUCUGUGCCAGCAGCCGCGGUAAUACAGAGGGUGCAAGCGUUGUUCGGAAUUAUUGGGCGUAAAGCGCGUGUAGGCGGCUUUGCAAGUCGGGUGUGAAAGCCCUCGGCUCAACCGAGGAAGUGCGCCCGAAACUGCAGAGCUUGAGUACCGGAGAGGAUGGCGGAAUUCCCCAAGUAGAGGUGAAAUUCGUAGAUAUGGGGAGGAACACCGGUGGCGAAGGCGGCCAUCUGGACGGAUACUGACGCUGAGACGCGAAAGCGUGGGUAGCAAACAGGAUUAGAUACCCUGGUAGUCCACGCCGUAAACGAUGAGAACUAGGUGUCGUGGGUGUUGACCCCCGCGGUGCCGUAGCUAACGCAUUAAGUUCUCCGCCUGGGAAGUACGGUCGCAAGACUAAAACUCAAAGGAAUUGACGG
rnacentral:rRNA from 1 species